GGACUACUGGGGUUUCUAAUCCUGUUUGCUCCCCACGCUUUCGCGUCUCAGCGUCAGUCACCGUCCAGAAGGCCGCCUUCGCCGCUGGUGUUCCUCCCGAUAUCUACGAAUUUCACCUCUACACCGGGAAUUCCGCCUUCCUCUCCGGGACUCUAGCGAGGCAGUUUCGAGCGACCUUCCGGGGUUGAGCCCCGGGCUUUCACACUCGACUUACCAAGCCGCCUACACGCGCUUUACGCCCAAUGAUUCCGAACAACGCUCGCGCCCUCCGUAUUACCGCGGCGGCUGGCAC
rnacentral:rRNA from 1 species